rnacentral:rRNA from 1 species
UUUCGCAAUGCCCGAAAGGGUGACGAAGCGACGCCGCGUGGGUGAGGAAGGCCUUCGGGUUGUAAAGCCCUGUCAGGAGUUAAGAAAUGUAAGUGCGCUAAUACCGCAUUUAUUUGACGAAGGCUCCAAAGGAAGUCACGGCUAACUCUGUGCCAGCAGCCGCGGUAAUACAGAGGUGGCAAGCGUUGUUCGGAAUUAUUGGGCGUAAAGAGCACGUAGGUGGGUUUGUAAGUCAGAUGUGAAAGCCUCCUGUUCAACGGGAGAAUUGCAUCUGAAACUACAGAUCUUGAGUGUAGGAGGGGAGAAUGGAACUUCUGGUGGAGCGGUGAAAUGCGUAGAUAUCAGAAGGAACGCCGGCGGCGAAAGCGAUUCUCGGGCCUAUUACUGACACUCAGUGUGCGAAAGCUAGGGUAGCAAACGGGAUUAGAUACCCCGGUAGUCCUAGCCGUAAACGAUGGGCACUAAGUAGAGGGGUUUUA